UCGUCCAGGGGGCCGCCUUCGCCACCGGUAUUCCUCCAGAUCUCUACGCAUUUCACCGCUACACCUGGAAUUCUACCCCCCUCUACGAGACUCAAGCUUGCCAGUAUCAGAUGCAGUUCCCAGGUUGAGCCCGGGGAUUUCACAUCUGACUUAACAAACCGCCUGCGUGCGCUUUACGCCCAGUAAUUCCGAUUAACGCUUGCACCCUCCGUAUUACCGCGGCUGCUGGCACGGAGUUAGCCGGUGCUUCUUCUGCGGGUAACGUCAAUGAGCAAAGGUAUUAACUUUACUCCCUUCCUCCCCGCUGAAAGUACUUUACAACCCGAAGGCCUUCUUCAUACACGCGGCAUGGCUGCAUCAGGCUUGCGCCCAUUGUGCAAUAUUCCCCACUGCUGCCUCCCGUAGGAGUCUGGACCGUGUCUCAGUUCCAGUGUGGCUGGUCAUCCUCUCAGACCAGCUAGGGAUCGUCGCCUAGGUGAGCCGUUACCCCACCUACUAGCUAAUCCCAUCUGGGCACAUCCGAUGGCAAGAGGCCCGAAGGUCCCCCUCUUUGGUCUUGCGACGUUAUGCGGUAUUAGCUACCGUUUCCAGUAGUUAUCCCCCUCCAUCAGGCAGUUUCCCAGACAUUACUCACCCGUCCGCCACUCGUCAGCGAAGCAGCAAGCUGCUUCCUGUUACCGUUCGACUUGCAUGUGUUAG
rnacentral:rRNA from 1 species